rnacentral:rRNA from 1 species
GAUGAACGCUGGCGGCGUGCCUAAUACAUGCAAGUCGAGCGAACAGACGAGGAGCUUGCUCCUCUGACGUUAGCGGCGGACGGGUGAGUAACACGUGGAUAACCUACCUAUAAGACUGGGAUAACUUCGGGAAACCGGCGCUAAUACCGGAUAAUAUAUUGAACCGCAUUGUUCAAUAGUGAAAUACGGUUUUGCUGUCACUUAUAGAUGGAUCCGCGCCGCAUUAGCUAGUUGGUAAGGUAACGGCUUACCAAGGCAACGAUGCGUAGCCGACCUGAGAGGGGGAUCGGCCACACUGGAACUGAGACACGGUCCAGACGCCUACGGGAGGCAGCAGUAGGGAAUCUUCCGCAAUGGGCGAAAGCCUGACGGAGCAACGCCGCGUGAGUGAUGAAGGUCUUCGGAUCGUAAAACUCUGUUAUUAGGGAAGAACAAAUGUGUAAGUAACUAUGCACGUCUUGACGGUACCUAAUCAGAAAGCCACGGCUAACUACGUG